GACGAACGCUGGCGGCGUGCUUAACACAUGCAAGUCGUACGGUAAGGCCCUUUCGGGGGUACACGAGUGGCGAACGGGUGAGUAACACGUGAGUAACCUGCCCACAACUUUGGGAUAACGCUAGGAAACUGGUGCUAAUACUGGAUAUGUGCUCCUGCUGCAUGGUGGGGGUUGGAAAGCUCCGGCGGUUGUGGAUGGACUCGCGGCCUAUCAGCUUGUUGGUGGGGUAGUGGCCUACCAAGGCGGCGACGGGUAGCCGGCCUGAGAGGGUGACCGGCCACAUUGGGACUGAGAUACGGCCCAGACUCCUACGGGAGGCAGCAGUGGAGAAUAUUGCACAAUGGGCGCAAGCCUGAUGCAGCAACGCCGCGUGCGGGAUAACGGCCUUCGGGUUGUAAACCGCUUUCAGCAGGGACGAAGCUUUUUGUGACGGUACCUGCAGAAGAAGCACCGGCUAACUACGUG
rnacentral:rRNA from 1 species